UGCCAGCCGCCGCGGUAAUACGGAGGGUGCAAGCGUUGUUCGGAAUUAUUGGGCGUAAAGCGCGUGUAGGCGGUUCGUUAAGUCUGAUGUGAAAGCCCUAGGCUCAACCAAGGAAGUGCAUCUGAUACUGCGAGACUAGAGUUCCGGAGGGGGUGGCGGAAUUCCCGGUGUAGGGGUGAAAUCCGUAGAUAUUCGGAGGAACACCAGUGGCGAAGGCGGCUUUCUGGACCGAUACUGACGCUGAGGCGCGAAAGCGCGGGGAGCAAACCGGAUCAGAUA
rnacentral:rRNA from 1 species